CUGUGAGUAUGUAUGUGUGUGUGUCAGUGUGUCUGUGAGUGUGUGUCUGUGAGUAUGUGUGUGUGUCUGUGAGUAUGUGUGUGUGUCUGUGUCUGUGUGUGUGUCUGUGUGUGUGUUUCUGUGAGUGUGUGUGUGUUUCUGUGAGUGUGUGUGUGUUUCUGUGAGUGUGUGUGUUUCUGUGAGUGUGUGUCUGUGAGUAUGUAUGUGUGUGUGAGUGUGUGUGUGAGUGUGUGUCUGUGAGUGUGUGAGUGUAUGUGUGUGUCUGUGAGUAUGUAUGUGUGUGUGUCUGUCAGUGUGUGUGUGUGU